rnacentral:lncRNA from 1 species
GCUCGACUACAACUCCUUGUUCUCACUGAGCCUUAAUUCUAGGUUUUCGCUCAACUCUCGCAAAUUUUCCGUUUUAUAUUGCAUGCUCUUCUUUUAUUCCUUUUGUAAUUUCUCAAUAGUUGAGUCGUAACUUGCAGAUUCCAUUAGCGAGGAUGAAAAUGCAACUGAUAGCUGUGGGAUAAAUAAUUAUAAGUUUUCUUAAACUCUUUUUAAUAGAAACCCUUGUGAUUUUGGAUGAAAAUUUCAGUUUUAAGGUUCUGUAAGUUUUCUUAAACUCUUUUUAAUAUUAACCGUUGUGAUUUUGGAUGUAAAUUUCAGUUUUAAUGUUCCUUUUUACUCGAUUUAGUGACUUUUAUUUAUUUUUGUGAGUAAUUGAGUGAUGUAGUGUGAUUGAAUGGUGAUUCAAAUCCAUACGACACAAGCAUUAAAACAUAUUUGUUCGGACUUAACAAUUACUGGAACUUGGGGUUUUUGGUUUUUAUGGAUUUUCUUAGUUAUCGUUUUCAUGUAAAAAUUUUGUGUUAUGAGGCUUUUUUGUUGCAUAUUGGUCUCUAUGUCUAUAAUUUAAGAAUAAUCUUAUCUUUCUAAUAGUUUGAUGCUUGUGUUUGAAGCCAAUAUAGAAUUUGACGAAUCUAUUGGAGUAUUUUAAUCCAACAGACCUUGAGUCUAUAUUUAUUGUUAAUGAUUUAGGGAAAUGAAGGGUCCAGUCCAUCGGAAAAUUUUUUGUGGUUAUGCUCGUGGUGAAGUGGUUAUCCAGUAUUGUUUCCUGCCCUCUGCAUUUUUGUACUACAUGUUUAUCUGAAUGGAAUGAAGAGACUGAUAUGAAACAUACCAAAUUUGAUGCUCCUAAUAACUGUGCUUUGUUGUAAACUCUUCUUGCUGAAGUCAUAAGCUAGCUAACUUCUUACUGUAGCACUUUCUAUUUCUGGUUAAUCUGCAUUAGGCUUCAUUGUUCUGACCUUAUUUGCAAUUUGCAUCUAGCAUUUACUAGUAUUAUGGUGACAGUUUUUAUGUGCAAUAGCAGUGAUGCAGUUUCAGAUAGCGAUUUUUCAUGGAGUUCCUUUCUGCAAAUUCCAUCACUGCUAAAGAAUCUGGUUUCACUGCUCAGAUAAAGAUUCCUCAAGUUAAUGCUUCCUUCUUUAGCAGUGAUUGAUCUAACUAGUUCAAUUUUAGUAUAUCCUUGCUUUUGUAUAGCGGUAAUAAUUCUCUUCGCCAAAUGUAUGGCAUGUGCCUUGUGGUAUUUGACACUUGAUUGUGAUAGUUUGUGUUGUUGAUUGCCUUGUUGGCUUGUUGGUUGUUUUCAUUAAGUUUAUUUGUUGAGCUGCUCUUUAUGUGUUGGCAGUGGUAUGAUAUUGCCUUCAGAUAUGACACUUAGCACAGGACAUUCUAGAGAUGAGCAUAUCAAAUCCAAUUACUAUUUAUAAGGAUUCUUCCUCCAGUGGUAUGCUUUUGUCUUUUUAUGUUCAUUUUAAGUUGUGUUACCGAUCUUACCGCAAAUGCUGAAUUCUCUAGGAUGGAGAUCUGUAACUUCUUAAAUGUACCCUGAUGGUUAAGUUUUGAAUUAUGUAACUAUGGUUCCUGUUUUCAACAUGAAAAGUGUAAGUUCUUUAGGCCCUGUUUGUUUUUAGUCUUCCUUAGUUAAGAGGAAUCUUUCCUUACAUUUUUGUUUCCUUUUUUGCAAUGUUGUUCUUUUUUAUCACGUACCAAAGUAGUCUUCCUUAGUGAAGAGGAAUCUUUCCUUACAUUUUUGUUUCCUUUUUGGCAAUGUUGUUCUUUUUUAUCACGUACCAAAGAGCACACCUGCCCCAGUUGGAUCUAGAAUACGAGGAAUAUAAAUACCCUAAAUGUCCUUUAUGGACGAUCGGUUGAAAUAGAGCUGACAUGGUCAUGGGCCUUUGUUUUUUAGGGAUCUAUGCUUCUUACAUUCUUCCUGCUGUGGCAGUUGGGGCGAUGGGAUAUUGUUACAUGAAGUGGAAGGCAAGUGUUCGCUGCUACAGUUUGUAUCUAUUGUCACCCCAAGGAUUUAUUUUUGAGGUUUGUUACAUUCUUUAUAUAGUUGUUAUAAAUCACAUGUGUUCUCGCUAAUCUUCCACAGAGUUGGUCAUUUUCUGAUGUAAUGUAUGUCACAAUGCAUAAUAUGGCGAAUGCUGUUGCAUCUGUGUCUAAGCAGCUGGAGAAUGUAUCUGAGGCGUUGGCUGUGAGUCAAGAACUUGUCAAUAAUUUCGUGGAUUAUCUGUGUUAUAAUAUGCUAACAACUGUUCUCAUUUUUCUUUCACUUCUAUUUCUUUUGUAGUCUACAAAAAGACAUCUGACGAAGAGGCUGGAAAAUUUUCUCCAUUGCGUUUUGAAUGUGCUUGCAUGUUUCUAUCGCAUUUUGAAUGAGUGUUUGAAUUUCCGAUUACUGUUGUAAUCUCUGGUUAUCACUGUCUUUUCCAUUCUACCGACCAUUGACUUUCUCCUUUGGUGCUUGGCAAAUGAUCCUAAUUAGAUUACGCGAAAGGACUUUGUAAUUGACCUAAACCAUCCAGAUUGUAAUUAUGUUGCUGCUAAGAAAAACUUUGGCGUCAUUGCAUGAUAUCGGAUGUUAUUGAUUGUGAUAAAAACACGUCUCUUGGAAAUUUUUGAUGUUUGUUACUCCUAGUUUUUGCUGGCUAUGCAUUAAAAUAGAACUGCAGUUUUGCUGUCUCUUUCAUUGUAUUAAGUUUUUUGUUUGGCAAGUGUUUGGUUGGACUGCUGUAGUUUACUAGUUUAUGAUGUUUGGCAUUAAGUUGCAUCUGUUUGGUAGGUGUUUGGUUGACUAUUGUAGAUUACUAGUUGUUGUGCUGCUCUUUGUGGUAUUACAGUUUUGAUUCUUAGGAUUGAAUUGUUUUGAUUCCAACCACUGCUACACAUGGUUCUGCUAGCAAUGGGCGGUAGAUGGAAUGCUUAUGGAUUUAAGUUAUCAUGUCUG